rnacentral:rRNA from 1 species
GACGAACGCUGGCGGCGUGCUUAACACAUGCAAGUCGAACGGAAAGGCCCUGCUUUUGUGGGGUGCUCGAGUGGCGAACGGGUGAGUAACACGUGAGUAACCUGCCCUUGACUUUGGGAUAACUUCAGGAAACUGGGGCUAAUACCGGAUAGGAGCUCCUGCUGCAUGGAGGGGGUUGGAAAGUUUCGGCGGUUGGGGAUGGACUCGCGGCUUAUCAGCUUGUUGGUGGGGUAGUGGCUUACCAAGGCUUUGACGGGUAGCCGGCCUGAGAGGGUGACCGGCCACAUUGGGACUGAGAUACGGCCCAGACUCCUACGGGAGGCAGCAGUGGGGAAUAUUGCACAAUGGGCGGAAGCCUGAUGCAGCAACGCCGCGUGCGGGAUGACGGCCUUCGGGUCGUAAACCGCUUUCGCCUGUGACGAAGCGUGAGUGACGGUAAUGGGUAAAGAAGCACCGGCUAACUACGUG